rnacentral:rRNA from 1 species
UGCCAGCAGCCGCGGUAAUACGUACUGUGCGAACGUUAUUCGGAAUGCACUGGGCUUAAAGGGUGCGUAGGCGGUUAAAUAAGUAGGAUGUGAAAUGCCAUGGCCUAACCAUGGCACUGCGUUCUAAACUGUUUGACUUGAGUAAGAUAGGGGUGUGCGGAACUUCCAGUGGAGCGGUGAAAUGCGUUGAGAUUGGAAGGAACGCCGUUGGCGAAAGCGGCAUACUGGGGUUUGUCUGACGCUGAGGCACGAAAGCUAGGGGAGCGAACAGGAUUAGAUA